rnacentral:misc_RNA from 1 species
UACGAAGGGAGCUAGCGUUGUUCGGAAUUACUGGGCGUAAAGGGCGCGUAGGCGGUGAGGCAAGUCAGAUGUGAAAGCCCUGGGCUCAACCCAGGAACUGCAUUUGAAACUGUCUGACUCGAGUCCGAGAGGGGAAAACAGAAUUGCAGGUGUAGAGGUGAAAUUCGUAGAGAUCUGCAGGAAUACCGGUGGCGAAGGCGGUUUUCUGGCUCGGUACUGACGCUGAGGCGCGAAAGCGUGGGGAGCAAACAGG